rnacentral:lncRNA from 1 species
UUUCCACCUGCUUUUUUCUUUUUAUUAUUUUAAAGAUUUUAUUCAUUUAUUCAUGAGAGACACACACAGAGAGAGAGGCAGAGACACAGGCAGAGGGAGAAGCAGGGUCAGUGCAGGAAGCCUGAUGUGGGACUCAAUUUCAGGACUCUGGGAUGACCGCUUGAGUCAAAGGCAGACGCUCAAUAGCUGAGCCACCCAGGCAUCCUGUCUUUUUCUUUUUUAAAACAUUCCUAGUCACCUAACUUGCUAGAUGCUAAUUUUUUUUAAAAGCCUCCAAAAAAAUAAAAAUAACAAUAAAAGUCUCCAGGUUGCAAGAUAACUCUUUAAACUGCUGCUCUAAGCUUAUGCUUCCAAUUUCAUAGCAGUACAACUAUACCAACCAUUAAGAAGUUAUAAAAUAUCAAAAUUUCACAUUAGGAAAUUCUGAUGUUAUCUUUUUGCUGUUGUUAAAGAGUUUAUUUUUAAGUAAUCUCUAUAUCCAAUGUGGGGCUGGAAUUUACAACCCUGAGAUCAGGAGUCCCAUGUUCUACCACCUGGGCCCACCAGGCACCCCACUGUUACCUUUUGAUGGAAGAACAAUGAGAGCAAAAACAGAACACUCAAAUCAUUUUUUCUUUCUUUAACUGUCACUUUAUUUAGGGUAGAAUUUCCUUACAUAAAGUUAACGUUUUUAAACACCUUAGGACAAACUAUUCAAAAAGCAAUAUUUUAUUUCAGAAGGGGCUUGUGUCUGUGGUUUUCUGUCCGCCUCUAUUUUCAUCAUUCUGAAUAUUUGCUUUUUAAAUAAAUAUAUUCUCAGUUGUUCCCUUGUAAGAAUCAGGCGACUAAACUGCUAUCAGUACUAAGAUAUCUGAGAUCAGAAGACUGCUCGGGUCAUUUCAAAUUCACAUUAGCACAGUGUCUAUAAGAAACAGGUAAUACAGAUUAAUGUGAUGCUUGCCUCUAGUUUGUCUUCUUAAUGGUUUCCAUGAGAGGGUCCUCACAAUAAGUUAUAUAAAAUACAGUACUUUGGUUGGAAAUUGUAAAAAUCAUUCUAAAAAUUAAGCACAUAUAUUAAACAAACGAGUUGCUACAGUAUGCUUUAAAUGAUAUAAAAUAAUUAGCAUGUCAAACAUUUUCUUAUAAACAUAUUGCUUUUGGUCAUACACUGAGCUGGAUCAUACAGCCUGCAUUCUUUUUCUCCUACAUGGCACAAAACGAUGGCUUGAUGGUAGGGAAACGCUACUUCAUGAGAAAAGAUGGUGUCCAUGAGCUCCAGUAGUACCGGUCUUUGUACUUAGGCAUUACCUUGAACGUGUUCAAUUUUUGAUAAUGUCAGAAGAUGAUGCAGUGUCAAUUUGUUAGAUGGAUACGGUCCUUUAGGCUAUCUAUAAGAGAGGGUUCUAAAAAACUGUUUGACAAUCAAUUUUCUUCCUACUUACUGAGCAAUGCUUAGUGAUUCAUGGAAUUUUACUGUAAGAUGAACAAUCACACCAGGAGUAGCUUUUAUGCCCACGCAGCUUGGCUCGCAGUUGAUACAUGUACC